UACGAGGGGGGCAAGCGUUGUUCGGAUUUAUUGGGCGUAAAGGGUGCGUAGGCGGUUUGGCAAGUCUUGUGUGAAAUCUUCGGGCUCAACCCGAAGCCUGCAUAAGAAACUGCCGGGCUUGAGUAUGGGAGAGGUGAGUGGAAUUUCCGGUGUAGCGGUGAAAUGCGUAGAUAUCGGAAGGAACACCUGUGGCGAAAGCGGCUCACUGGACCAUAACUGACGCUGAGACGCGAAAGCGUGGGGAGCGAACAGG
rnacentral:rRNA from 1 species